GACGAACGCUGGCGGCGUGCUUAACACAUGCCAGUCGAACGGAAAGGCCCCUUCGGGGGUACUCGAGUGGCGAACAGGUGCGUAACACGUGAGUAACCUGCCCUUGACUUCGGGAUAACUUCAGGAAACUGGGGCUAAUACCGGAUAGGAAUCCUUGCUGCAUGGUGGGGGUUGGAAAGCUUCGGCGGUUUUGGAUGGACUCGCGGCUUAUCAGCUUGUUGGUGGGGUAGUGGCUUACCAAGGCUUUGACGGGUAGCCGGCCUGAGAGGGCGACCGGCCACAUUGGGACUGAGAUACGGCCCAGACUCCUACGGGAGGCAGCAGUGGGGAAUAUUGCACAAGGGGCGGAAGCCUGAUGCAGCAACGCCGCGUGCGGGAUGACGGCCUUCGGGUUGUAAACCGCGUUCAGCAGGGGCGAAGCUUGUGGUGACGGUACCUGCAGAAGAAGCACCGGCUAACUACGUG
rnacentral:rRNA from 1 species